GCCGGGGUGGCCGAGCGGCCCAAGGCGGUGGGCUCGAGACCCACUACCCCUUAUGGGGUGCGCGGGUUCGAAUCCCGCCCCCGGCGCCA
rnacentral:tRNA from 1 species